CCCAGAACCUGUGAACAUGUGACCUUAUUUGGAAAUAGGGUCUUGCAGAUGUAAUCACAUUAUGAUGGGGUCACAAUGGAUGAGGGUGGGCCCUAAAUCCAACACCUGGUGUCCUUACAAGAAGAGGGAAGUUUGGACACGGAGAGACACAGACACACAGGCAGAAUGCCAUGCGAUGACAGAGGCAGAGAUCUGAGUGAUGUGUCUACAAACCAAGCAACGUCAAGGACUGCCAGCAGCCCCAGAAGCUGGAAGAGGCAGGAAGAAUCCUCCCUGAGGGCCUUCAGAGAGAGCGUGGCCCUGCUGGUGCCUUGAUUUUGGACUUCUGGCUUCUAGAAGUGUGCGAGAAUAAGGUUCUGUUGCUUGAAGCCACCUAGUCUGUGGUGCUUUGUUUUGACGGCCACAGGAAACCAGUAUUGGAGGUUGGUUGAGCACAGAACACAUAAACGCAUCCUAAUUUGGCCACCCCCGAGACAUGAAGUCAUUGGCAAGCUUGAAAUAUGGACACCUUAUCAUGAUUAAUCCUCUUCCACAUCUAUAAUUCAUAACGUUGAAGAGGAAGCGGAGGAAGAAAGAACUUUUGGAAAGGGUAAUGCUUUUAUGCAGCAAGCUUUGUUGAGUUUAUUUAAAGAUUAUGCAUAUUUUGUUUGCUUUUUAUGCCGUUAAAAUGUUCAGGGAGGGAAGAAAGUUGGAACAGCUUGAGAAAUAUCCGGCAGAAUUCCAUGGUACAAUGGAGAAACCAUCCAGAAAUCGAGAGCGGUCCUGCUAGGUGAGUGAAAAUUAUAGGGACAAGAGGGGCGGCCACGUACCUGCACUUUGGGACUUCUUUAAGGAGCCAUGAGGUGCAUGCGCCCACACACCCCCUCCACCCCAAACAAUGUGGGAUAUGGCUCACCUUGGGAAGGGUCAAGGGCAGUCUUUGUAGAUACAAAUUGUCCUGGUAGGAGAGGAGGCAAAAAGAAGUGGGAAGGGGUAAUUUCCUGCCUCUCCACUGAUGAGCUGCUGAGGGCUGAGCGAUGACCUCACAGGCCCCUGGGGGCUUUGUCUUCACCUCUGCAGAAUCAUCUGGGAGCAAGCUGGGAGGAGUCCUCAGGAGCUGCAGAAAGGACAGCUAAUGAAGAACACUGGGCUGGACACUGGGCAGAGUGGGUGACAAGCUCGUUAGUACCUAGGAGUUUGUUUUCAUUUUUCCCCUCGCAGCAAAACAAUUUGAAAGCGGAGACUAAAAAUUCAAUGUCUCAAUAUGGAGGAUUUGGGGGGGCGUAGUUGUACACGUUUGCAGUAGAUAAUGCCAGCUGCCCACCCAAUAUCCGUGUUUUCCCCUUUCUUUCUGUCUAACAGAGCUGUCAUAUGGUCUGGGGAUAUGACACCCAGCUAAAGAAAAAUCACUUCCCCAGGCUCCUUGCCCCCAAGGAAGCCCUGAGUGUAGCUUGGGCAUGGAGAGGAAGCUGCUUGGGACGGGCGGUCCUCCCUAAGUCAAAAGAACUCCCUUUUCCCGCCUUCUGCCUGGUUAUCCCUUUUUCUUUUUCCUGCUGGACGCUUGGUGGUCAUGAAAACUGAGUGCAUCAGGUGUCUUGUAAGAAGCAUGUUUUGUGGGAGAAACGUGCCAAAUGCAUUUAGAUCUCAUGGACUGAAAAAGUAAUAGUGGUUUCCAGUGAGUCAUGGUCUCAUGGGAAUUGCCUUAGAAUGCAGGCCUUGGUUUGUGAGCCAGCUGCCUCUCACAUGGUCAGCCUAUGCAGCGUUAGCUAAGGUGAUUGUCACCGUUUUAUUUAUUUAAUCAUAGUUAAUGCUUCUUCUAAGGAUUCCCAGGAAGCCUGGAUGAUAAUUUACAUAUCAUUAGACAGAAGCUUGUAGUGAUAUGUACAAAAGACAAGAGCCCGACUGUUGGCUAACCCAAUAUCCAUUUUCAAACCCGCUUCGCUCUUGCCCACUGCAGUUAGAGAGGCUGGAAAAACGAAUCAUCUUUCCCAGCCUCCUUUGUGGCCGAGUUGGCUGUGUGUCAUAGUUCUGGCCAAUGGGCCAUAAGCCGAAAUCUCAAGGGGAGGGUUCUAGGAAGGGACAGAUGUGGCUGCCUUGUUCUUCACUUCUUCCUGCCUUGAAUAAGAAUAUGAUGCUGAGUCUGGGGCAGCCAACCUGCCACCAUGAGUGUGAGGCCCUGAAAUGGACAGAAACCCUGUCAUUGACACUAUUGAGCGGCUGGACCAACACUUAAAGCCAAUUUCUGCAGACUCCUGAAUCAACUCUGUUUCCAUCCUUGUAAGUCUGAUUUUUCUCUUACUGGCAGCUCAAAGCAUUCCUGACUAAGACAAUGUGCAAAAUAAGAAAUACAAAUGGCCAAUAGGAUAUGAAAAAAAUUCAGCUUCAAUGAUAAACAAAGGAAUGGAAUUUGGCAAAGAUGUUGAAAUGAUGAUCACACUGCGUGCUGGUAGGAUGUUGUGAGAUAAGUAUUCUCAUUUCCUGCUGGUGACAUUAUAAACUGGUACGGGGUUUCUCCAAAGAUGUGGAUGAAGCUAUGAAGAGCCUUCAAAAUAUUACUACCCUUUGACCAAGUAAUUUCACUCUUGGGAAUUAUCCAAAGGAAAUAGCAACAAGGACACAGACUUACAUGCAUUGUGAUCCAAACUCCGUAAGAAAGAAAAAAAAAGGUAUCUUCAUAGAUAUGUAGACUGCAGGAAAUAAGACAAAAACGUUUGGAAUUGUUAUCUCUUGUUUUGAGUGAUAUUUUGUUUUUUCUUUUUCAAAUUUUUUAGAAAGAACAUGUUUAUUUGGAAAUUAGGAAAACACAACAAAAGUCACUUAAAAGACUAAUACCACCGAAUGCUCACAUCUCUGUCCUUAGAAUUUUUCUACUUUUGUGGAAAUAACAGCCAAGUAUCUUCAGAGUCUUUGGUUACAGGUCUUUCUUUUCAUUUACUUUUAAAUUUCUCACUGAGAGACAGAAUUUACCAGAGUCAUCCUGUGAAACGCUGGGGGUGACUGCACACAUUCAUAUGCUAUUCGAACUGGAUGAUGGUCCUGGGAGGUAAGGAAAGAUGCUAUUAUCCCCAUUUUACUGUUAGGAAAGAAAAAGAAAGGAACUGGGUGUCUUCCUGAGAGUCAUUCUACCUGUGGGAGGCAGAGCUGGGGCCUGACACAGAUUCACUGAUUCUAAGCCCUGAGCUCCUGUUUCGACACCAGGAUUUCUAUCACGCACGGGAGAAACACACACCCAAUUAGAGCCACAGCUAAAAUUCCCUGUAAUUGCAAAAGAGAGCAAGGAGAGAAGCUGGUUUUAUGUCCAGACCGGAAAAGGGGGAGGGAGGCAACUGCAAGCUGCACAAAUUAUACACAUUCCAAAUGCUUAUUUAUACAAACCCCUCCACUCCACCCUCCACCCACGUCUGUAAUGUAACCAACAUGCAAAAACGAAAAUCUGUUUUUGAGCCAGGUGCCAAAAUAAUCAUUGUUAAUACAGAAUAAACAACAAGUACGUUAUAUUGUUUAGGUCUGCAUCGGGGACUUAGAAGCGUUUGGGAAUUAAAAUUGCGUUUGAUACAUAGGAUGCACAAAAUCACGUUUAUACAAAUGAUGGACAGAAUUUAUUCAAGUGGCUGUGUUCACAUGAGUUUCCAUUCUUUCCACUGACACGUGGUGCCACGACCAAAAUUUAAUUCUGGAAAUUAACUUUUCCCUUAGAGAUGGGUGGAACUGAGUAUACUGUGGGCUACAAUAUUCUUAAAUAAUAUUGUGUAUAUGAAAGAGAUGGUUAAUUAUGAGCAACAGUGGAGUUCUUUAAAACCGAACUAUACAUGACAGAAAGCUGGCAAAUUCCUCUUGAAAGUAACCAGGCACAUAAAAUUGUCUUCUGUGUCAAGUUUUCAGUGCCCCAGCCCACUUCCUGUGCAGCACGGCCCUGCGCGGACAGGGCGUGGGUGAGGAAGGCACUUGGCUUCUGGCCAUUGCUCCUGCCCUAACUAGUUGGCAGCCCUCCCCUCGCUAAACACCCAUGCAAAGCAAACUCAGACCCAUUAGAAGUAAGAGGGUGAGGAUAUUCCAUUUCUUCGUGGACCACUGCUUGAUUUUCGUUAAACUCACUCAGAUUUAUUUUACACCCUGGACACCUGAGUUUGCGCUUAUUUUCAAGUUGUCAAGGAAUCUUUUCAGAAAUGAAAAAACACGGCUGUUCUAUUUACAUAGACCUUUUAGUUUUCUUCUCACUCUCUCCCUGUAAGUUCUUUUCGCCCUCGUUUUCAAUUUAUUACCUUUUAAGUAUCCUUAAGUAGCAGAUGUUUAAACACCUUUUAAUCGGAGAAACUGCAAGUGUAAUUGCUGGGUUUGGCAGGAAGCAGGUCCCGGAGCCCCUGGCCGGCUGAUAGCUGUGUUCUGCAGGCAGUGGCAUCUCACCGUAGAAGCAGCGAGACCGGAUCGCAGCCUCCAGACAUCUUCUGGCAAGUUCUGGAGAAGUUUUGCAAUUAACCAGUGGAAUUGGCAUGAAUUGAAAGGAUGCGUAAGGAAAACAUCAGUUCCUGCUGUCAUACCGGCUUCAAGCUCCAGCACCAGAAACAACGACAACAGCCUCAUGGAGACUAUUUAACCAGCUCCUACAGCUGUGUACAGCAAACAUGGAUCUACUUUGCCAAGUCUUUUCCCAUGAUGCUGAUGCCUCCGCGCAGACCUUCUUGGUGAGGGGCACAGACACACGUCUGGUGACACUCCCUGGGCCCCCACUUGGACACCCCAGAGACAUUCCAGUGCACCAUGAGCAAAACGGAAUUGCCCCUCAAGCCUCACCCGCCAUCCUUAUGUGGCCUCCUACUGCCCUAUACCAAUCAACAGCCCACGCCACCUCCUGGACAUCCUCCCCUCCUUUUUUUCAGCUCCAUCGCUGUCUCUUUGCCCCUCCACCAUGCUGACCAGGACUGUUGCAAGAGACCCUCAACUGCUCUCCUUGCCUCCAUCCUCACCUCCUCGAAUUCCUUCUCUACACUUAAGCCACUGAGCCUUUUAAAAUGCAAAUCUGACUAUGUCACUCUUGGGGCCAAAAGCCACCCAUUGUGUCCAUUGGCCCUUUGGAUGAAAUUCAAAGCCAUAGUCCUGACUUCCUGGCCUGCACAACCUUGACUCCCUCCUCUUGGACCCUAUGUGUCAGCCCAGCCACUCUGAACUUCUUUCUAUAACUUCUGUGCUCACUCCCUUUGCCUGGAAACCACCUCCCCCCACUCCCCACUCUUCUACACCACCCGGGGGGAGCCUUGUCUAUGUUGUCCGUGUCCCGUCGUCACCCCCCAUCACGCCCCCACCGCCCCAGCUCAGUGUGAAUGCCCUUUCGUGAUCCCAUUAGAUGAUGUUGGGGGCUUCUGCUCUGUAUCCCAACUCCUCAAGCCCUACCCCCCUAAUAUAAUAAAAUUCAUGUCCGCUCUGUGUCCUGCCCUCACUUUACUAUAUGGAGUCUCUCUGAUCUGACUUUAAGAGAGGUUGCUGAUGGCUCUUAAACAGGACUCAGGGCCUCCUCUCUUCGACCUCUAAGUAUUGACGUCUGUAGGACCACGUUCUGAGGCCUCUUUUCUUCCCCAUCCAUUCUUUCCCCAGGUAAUUACCUUUUGCAGGUAAUUGCUUUUGGCUUUACAUGUAAUUAGGGUGACAGACCAUCCCCGUUUGCUGGGGACCGAGGGGUUUCCUGGAAUGUGGCACUUUAAGGGCUGAAAACGGGAAAGUCCUGGGCAAACUGGGAUGACGGGGUCACCCUAGUUACCAUCCAAUGCUGGCAAUCCCAAAAAUUCAUAUCUGCAGCCCAGUCUCUCCCCUGAGUGCCAGACAUGGGAAUUGAAUACUUAAUUGGCAUUUCCAUUGUGAUGUGUCAUUGGCAUCUCAAAGCUGAGGUGGCCCAGACAAGGCUGUGGUCCCAGAAAACCUCAUCCCACUGUCACCCAACUCACUAGACUCCACCCGUCCUCAAACAUGCCCAACUGCUUCCCAUCUCAGGACCUUUGCACCUGUCAUUUCUUCUACAGGAAACACCCUUCCCCUCCUCUUCUCUGUUAGCCACUGCUCUUCCUUCUAGUUUCAGCCUAAUUGCCACUUCUUCAUAGAGUCCUUUCUGGACCUAAAGCAGCCCACUUCCCUAUUCCAUCAUAUCACCUGGCUUAUAUUUCUCAUGGCACUUACAACCGGAAAUGAUCUUAUUCAUGGCAUUGCUUACUUGUUUACUGUGGUUCUCUCUCCCUCUACCUGCCUGCCCUCUCUAGGAUGCAAACCCAUGAAGGGAGGGCUUUUGUCCUGUUCAUCUACAAGAGUGCCUGGCUCACAGCAGGCUCAAAAAUUUUGAUGCAUGGAAGAAUUAAUCAAUAUAUUGGAAUAAGAAUGUGUUUGAGAGGCGAAACUGAGCAAUUUUCCUAAAACAAGUUCUGUGUCGGAGUAUAUUAUUCACUGACAAAAUGUUCCCAUUUUUCCCCAUUUUAUUUAAUUAUGCAUCCUCUGUCUCGUGUCUUGACAGGGCAGUUGAUGGUGCAACAGAGCAUUUCCUCGCAGGGUAUUGAUGCAGAGAGCAAAUUGGGAGAAAAUUUGUUGUUAACCCUGGAAAAUAUUCAACAUUUUACUUCAUGACUUGGAGUAAAUGCUCAUGAAUUUUUUUUAAGACUUUACUUUUUAGAGCAGCUUUGGGUUCACAGCAAAAUCAAAGGAAGGUACAGAGAUUUCCCAUUUACCUCCUGCCUCUACACAUGCGUAGCCCGCCAAUUAUCCACAUCCCCACCAGACUGGUUCCUUUGUUACAAUCGAUGAACCUGCAUUGACUCAACAGAAUCACCCAAGUCCAUAGUUUACAUUGGGUUUCCCUCUGGGUGUUGUACAUUCUAUAAUUUGGACUAAUGGGUGAUAAUAUGUAUCCAUCACUAUGUUACCAAAUGGAAUGUUUUCACUGUAUCCUUUGCUCUGCCUAUUUAUCCCUCCCUCACUCCUUUAACCCCGGGAAGGCACUCAUCUUUUCACUGUGUCCAUAGUUUUGCCUUUCCCAAAAUGUCAUAUAUUUGGAAUCAUGCAGUAUGCAGCCUUUUCAGAGUGGCUUCUCUCAGUAAUAUGCAUUUAAGGUUCCUCCAUGUUUUUUCAUGGCUUGAUAGCUAUUUCUUUUUGGCAUUGAAAAAUAUGCCAUUGCCUGGAUGGACCCCAGUUUGUCCAUUCACCUACUGAAUUUUGCAUUCCCACCAGCAAGGCAUGAGAGUUCCUUUGCUCCACAUCCUCACCAGCAUGCGGCGCUGUCAGUGGUCCAGAUUUUGACUAUUCUAAUAGCCCCCCAGUACAUAGUUGUAUAUUCUAGUUGUGGGUCCUUCUGGUUGCGUUAUGUGAGAUGCAGCCUCAACAAGGCCUGAUGAGUGGUGCCAGGUCCGCAUGCAGGAGCUGAACUGGCGAAACCCUGGGCUGCCGGAGCAGAGUGUGCGAACCUAACCACUCGGCCACAGGGCAGGCCCCUCACCUGGCUUUUUUGAAAGAGCAACAAAUCUGGGGGAAGAAAAGCAGAGAUCCACAUAUUAAAAUGAUAUUAGUGAAGAAAGAGACAAUAGCUUCUUUGUGAUAAUUUAUAGUUAUCCAGAGGAGAAAUAGCUUCAUACUCUUUUAUUUUCAAAUCACACCCACUCUUCUGCUUAAAUCCAGCUCUUGUGGCCGUGGCUGUUAAGACUUAUUAUGAACAACACAGAGCAGCAAGAGAUGCUGUUUAAAUGCCCACAGAGAAAGGACGUGUGGUCUAAAAAGUUUGAGGACAUCGAUUCUAAAAAUUGAAAGAUACUCAUCCUGUUUGGCCAAGUUUAAAGAAGGGACCAGGAUAGGUUUUCUAUCAGAAACUACAAGCCGGAUUAUUUAAAAAUCCAUAUAAAGUUG
ensembl:lncRNA